UCGCAAAUUAGCCACUCUCAACAUGAGGAGGGUAGUGACGAGAAAUAACGAGACCGAUCUCUUCUGAGGCCCGGUCAUCGGAAUGGGUACAAUUUAAACCCUUUAACGAGUAUCUAUGAGAGGGCAAGUCUGGUGCCAGCAGCCGCGGUAAUUCCAGCUCUCAAAAUGCAUAGAAUUAUUGCUGCGGUUAAAAAGCUCGUAGUUGGAUCUGUGCUAGCCGACCGGUGCACACUCUGUGUGUUACUGGUUCGGUUGGCUUUUCAGCCGGUCUUUCUCCGGCGUUGGCCUUUACCGGUCGGCGUCGGUGGACCGGCAAGUUUACUUUGAACAAAUCAGAGUGCUUCAAACAGGCGUUUCGCUUGAAUGUUCGUGCAUGGAAUAAUAGAAGAGGAUUUCGGUCCGAUUUUAUUGGUUUUGCUGACCGAGAUAAUGGUUAACAGAGACAAACGGGGCCAUUCGUAUUGCUACGUGAGAGGUGAAAUUCUUGGACCGUAGCAAGACGGACUACAGCGAAAGCAUUUGGCAAGAAUGUCUUCAUUAAUCAAGAACGAAAGUCAGAGGUUCGAAGGCGAUCAGAUACCGCCCUAGUUCUGACCGUAAACGAUGCCAACUAGCGAUCCGCCGGCGGAUUUAUUUGCCCUGGUGGGGAGCUUCCCGGAAACGAAAGUCUUCCGGUUCCGGGGGAAGUAUGGUUGCAAAGCUGAAACUUAAAGGAAUUGACGGAAGGGCACCACCAGGAGUGGAGCCUGCGGCUUAAUUUGACUA
rnacentral:rRNA from 1 species